rnacentral:ncRNA from 2 species
GUGACGCGCAUGAAUGGAUUAA